AUUCAACUCGAUGAACUCUUUCAAAACAUCUUUGGUAUUCAACUCGAUGAACUCUUUUUAAUUUCUCAGAGCUUCAACUCUCAACUCUCUCUCUAAAACUCGCCUUCUCUCUCUAAAAUUCACUCUCUCUCUCUCAAAUCCAGGUGAAUCGGAGAAAACCCUAAUUAUUUGAUGAUUGCUGGACCAGCAGAGAUGAUGUGCGAUCAAUUCAAUUUAGGUUUGUUGAAACACGCCGCUGUUUCGCCGGAAUCCACAUCGGUUUUGAUCUCAAUCCUUACUUCCACUACAGAUGUAUGCCGGAAUCUUCAUACCGUCUUCAAAUCAGAUCUCAACAUCUCAUACUUCCACUUGAAUUCAUUCUUUCAAUAUCACUAUUUCCCGUAGAGAUGAGAGUUCAUGUUGUUGAUGAUGAUCCAACUUGUGAGAAAUUAUUAGAUGGGCUUUUAAAGGAAUGUCAAUAUCAAGAGGCGGCAUACCUUGCAUUCACCCAUGUAGCAUCGAGCAUCAGGUAACAACUCCCAUUUAUUCAUAUUCAUAAAAUAAAAAGAGCUUUAUAUAAACCACACGCCAUUG